rnacentral:rRNA from 1 species
CCCUACGGGACGCAGCAGUGGGGAAUAUUGCACAAUGGGGGAAACCCUGAUGCAGCGACGCCGCGUGAGUGAAGAAGUAUUUCGGUUUGUAAAGCUCUAUCAGCAGGGAAGAGGAAAGACGGUACCUGACUAAGAAGCCCCGGCUAACUACGUGCCAGCAGCCGCGGUAAUACGUAGGGGGCAAGCGUUAUCCGGAUUUACUGGGUGUAAAGGGAGCGUAGACGGAAAGGCAAGUCAGAAGUGAAAGCCCAAGGCUCAACCAUGGGACUGCUUUUGAAACUGUCAAACUAGAGUACGGGAGAGGG